rnacentral:rRNA from 1 species
UACGGAGGGUGCAAGCGUUAUCCGGAAUCACUGGGUUUAAAGGGUGCGUAGGCGGCUUAAUAAGUCAGUGGUGAAAGGCUGUGGCUUAACCAUGGAAUUGCCAUUGAUACUGUUGAGCUUGAAUCAGGUUGAGGUUGGCGGAAUGUGACAUGUAGCGGUGAAAUGCUUAGAUAUGUCAUGGAACACCGAUUGCGAAGGCAGCUGACUGGACCUGUAUUGACGCUGAGGCACGAAAGCGUGGGGAGCGAACAGGAUUAGAAA